AUUACUUCUUAGCCUUUUGGCUAAGAUCAAGUAAGGUAUCUGUUCUCAUCACUUCAAUAUUACCCAAAUAUGUACAUACAGGUUGUCAUUAAUGCUGUUUGCAUGUCCAUCCACUGUCUCUGUAAGGAGAUGUAGGAGUCUUAUUAAU
rnacentral:snRNA from 1 species